rnacentral:sRNA from 1 species
UUUUGUUUAGUGUUUAAGAUUGUAUAAUUGUGUUAAAAUUGUUAAUUCUAAGAUUACACUCGUAGAUUAUCGUCCCGUUAUGAGUAUCAACCCAAACUCGUUCUACUAGAUAACUUCAUUCCGUAAAAUUAAAUAUUAUUUUUGUUAUUUUAAAUAUUAAUAUUGUUAUGAGUAUCUAAUCGUUUUUUUAAAGCAAAAUUCAAGAUAUUUAUUUAGUUGGAGUAGUUAUUAAUUUACUAAAUUACUUAUA